CCGGGUUGAUCCUGCCGGACCCUACUGCUAUCGGGGUGGGACUAAAACAUGCGAGUCGAACGACUUCUAGCCAUGAUGAAGUCGUGGCAUACGGCUCAGUAACACGUGGCUAACCUACCCUUGAGACGGAGACAACCCCGGGAAACUGGGGCUAAUCCCAGAUAGACGAGAACUCCUGGAACGGGUUCUCGCCCAAAAGGCAUCAAGGCCACGCUUCUUGAUGUCGCUCAAGGAUGGAGCCGCGACCGAUCAGGCUGUUGGUGAGGCAACGGCUCACCAAACCUAUAACCGGUACGGGCCGUGGGAGCGGGAGCCCGGAGAUGGGAACUGAGACAAGGUCCCAGGCCCUACGGGGCGCAGCAGUUGCGAAAACUCCGCAAUGCACGAAAGUGUGACGGGGCUACCCCGAGUGCCGUCCGCUGAGGAUGGCUUUUCCCUGGUGUAAGGAGCCGGGGGAAUAAGGAGAGGGCAAGUCUGGUGUCAGCCGCCGCGGUAAUACCAGCUCUCCGAGUGGUGGGGAUGAUUAUUGGGCUUAAAGCGUCCGUAGCCUGCUCUUCAAGUCUCUCGUUAAAUCCAGCGAUUCAAUCGUUGGACUACGGGAGAUACUGUUGGACUAGGAGGCGGGAGAAGCCGACGGUAUUUCCGGGGUAGGGGUAAAAUCCUAUAAUCCCGGGAGGACCACCAGUGGCGUAGGCGGUCGGCUAGCACGCGCUCGACGGUGAGGGACGAAAGCUGGGGGAGCAAACCGGAUUAGAUACCCGGAUAGUCCCAGCUGUAAACGAUGCGGGCUAGGUGUUGGAGUGGCCACGAGCCACUUCAGUGCCGCAGGGAAGCCAUUAGGCCCGCCGCCUGGGGAGUACGGCCGCAAGGCUGAAACUUAAAGGAAUUGGCGGGGGAGCACCACAAGGGGUGAAGCUUGCGGUUCAAUUGGAGUCAACGCCGGGA
rnacentral:rRNA from 1 species